UUUACCUACGGGACGCAGCAGUGGGGAAUAUUGCACAAUGGGCGCAAGCCUGAUGCAGCAACGCCGCGUGAGCGAAGAAGGUCUUCGGAUCGUAAAGCUCUGUCCUUGAGGAAGAAGGAAGUGACGGUACUCAAGGAGGAAGCCCCGGCUAACUACGUGCCAGCAGCCGCGGUAAUACGUAGGGAGCGAGCGUUGUCCGGAAUUACUGGGUGUAAAGGGAGCGUAGGCGGGACUGCAAGUUGGGUGUCAAAUCUACCGGCUCAACCGGUAGCCGCACUCAAAACUGCAG
rnacentral:rRNA from 1 species